rnacentral:rRNA from 1 species
GAUGAACGCUGGCGGCGUGCCUAAUGCAUGCGAGUCGAGCGAACGGACGAGAAGCUUGCUUCUCUGAUGUUAGCGGCGGACGGGUGAGUAACACGUGGAUAACCUACCUAUAAGACUGGGAUAACUUCGGGAAACCGGAGCUAAUACCGGAUAAUAUUUUGAACCGCAUGGUUCAAAAGUGAAAGACGGUCUUGCUGUCACUUAUAGAUGGAUCCGCGCUGCAUUAGCUAGUUGGUAAGGUAACGGCUUACCAAGGCAACGAUGCAUAGCCGACCUGAGAGGGUGAUCGGCCACACUGGAACUGAGACACGGUCCAGACUCCUACGGGAGGCAGCAGUAGGGAAUCUUCCGCAAUGGGCGAAAGCCUGACGGAGCAACGCCGCGUGAGUGAUGAAGGUCUUCGGAUCGUAAAACUCUGUUAUUAGGGAAGAACAUAUGUGUAAGUAACUGUGCACAUCUUGACGGUACCUAAUCAGAAAGCCACGGCUAACUACGUGCCAGCAGCCGCGGUAAUACGUAGGUGGCAAGCGUUAUCCGGAAUUAUUGGGCGUAAAGCGCGCGUAGGCGGUUUUUUAAGUCUGAUGUGAAAGCCCACGGCUCAACCGUGGAGGGUCAUUGGAAACUGGAAAACUUGAGUGCAGAAGAGGAAAGUGGAAUUCCAUGUGUAGCGGUGAAAUGCGCAGAGAUAUGGAGGAACACCAGUGGCGAAGGCGACUUUCUGGUCUGUAACUGACGCUGAUGUGCGAAAGCGUGGGGAUCAAACAGGAUUAGAUACCCUGGUAGUCCACGCCGUAAACGAUGAGUGCUAAGUGUUAGGGGGUUUCCGCCCCUUAGUGCUGCAGCUAACGCAUUAAGCACUCCGCCUGGGGAGUACGACCGCAAGGUUGAAACUCAAAGGAAUUGACGGGGACCCGCACAAGCGGUGGAGCAUGUGGUUUAAUUCGAAGCAACGCGAAGAACCUUACCAAAUCUUGACAUCCUUUGACAACUCUAGAGAUAGAGCCUUCCCCUUCGGGGGACAAAGUGACAGGUGGUGCAUGGUUGUCGUCAGCUCGUGUCGUGAGAUGUUGGGUUAAGUCCCGCAACGAGCGCAACCCUUAAGCUUAGUUGCCAUCAUUAAGUUGGGCACUCUAAGUUGACUGCCGGUGACAAACCGGAGGAAGGUGGGGAUGACGUCAAAUCAUCAUGCCCCUUAUGAUUUGGGCUACACACGUGCUACAAUGGACAAUACAAAGGGCAGCGAAACCGCGAGGUCAAGCAAAUCCCAUAAAGUUGUUCUCAGUUCGGAUUGUAGUCUGCAACUCGACUACAUGAAGCUGGAAUCGCUAGUAAUCGUAGAUCAGCAUGCUACGGUGAAUACGUUCCCGGGUCU